ensembl:miRNA MIR5087 microRNA 5087
AGCUUUCUACGGGUUUGUAGCUUUGCUGGCAUGUUAAGUGUUGUCCUACAGUCGCAAGCAUAAGAAAGAGAAAGUA